UACGGGGGGGGCAAGCGUUGUUCGGAAUUACUGGGCGUAAAGGGCUCGUAGGCGGCCAACUAAGUCGGACGUGAAAUCCCCAGGCUCAACCUGGGAACUGCGUCUGAUACUGGAUGGCUUGAAUUCGGGAGAGGGAUGCAGAAUUCCAGGUGUAGCGGUGAAAUGCGUAGAUAUCUGGAGGAAUACCGGUGGCGAAGGCGGCAUCCUGGACCGGCAUUGACGCUGAGGAGCGAAAGCCAGGGGAGCAAACGGG
rnacentral:rRNA from 1 species